rnacentral:lncRNA from 1 species
CUCCGCCCCGGAAGCCGAGUUCAGCGACGGGCGCCGGGCCCAGCCGGAGAGGAAGGCAGGGCUCAGUGGACCCCCGCUUCCUCCAGCCCCGUCUUUCCGCUCGUCUGUGCUCCUCCGCCGCGCGGUCGGUGGCCAUGGACGCCAGGCGAGCCAGGCGCAGAUCCUGGCGCAGAACCCCCGGCCGGAGACUGACCGGGGCGCGGGCUCGCUCGGCCGAGGACUGGUGGUGGGAUCGGCUGGCGCCCAGCGGCUCUGAAUACCACCUGCUUCAGGCAGACAGCAUGUUGCUCGUGCUGCCCGGCCCGGGGCCUGUCCGCGCCCGCGCGCACAGGCGCAUCACCCGCCGCGCGCAGCGGCCACAGUCCUCGGGCCCCGCCGCAACUGCCAAGCCCAGGCCCAGGCCCCGACCUGAGGCGGCUCCCGACCCGGAGCAGGGGCCGGACCCGGGCUGGGGAGAUCGCAUUCCCUUGGAGGUCCUGGUGCAGAUUUUCGGGUUGCUAGUGGCCGCCGAUGGGCCCAUGCCGUUUCUUGGCAGGUACACUACACCCCCGGCCCCAGCGAAGGCCUGAGUUGGAUUUUGAGAGCGAAAGCACCUGAGAGCGCGUACACUAGUGUUUUGGCACCCAUCCGCAGCGCAAGAUUUCUCAUUGUGUAGCUCCAGAAGCCUGGCUUUGAGCUGGGGUGGCCGCUGCACUGCGAGUGCAGGGGCAUAUCGGCCUCUCUUAGGAAACCCAUUGCGAGGGUCUGGCGAUGUAGCUCAGUGGUAGAGUGCAAUGUCCUGAUUUCAGUUCCCGGUAGGCAGCUUCACCCGUGAAACGCCGGGCGCCUUUAGUAGUCUGUUCCCCCAGGGCUGCGCGCGUGUGCCGCCACUGGCGUGAGGCAGCUUCCCAGCCCGCCCUCUGGCAUAAGGUAACCCUGUCGCCCCCGUUGGCUGGCCGCGGUGUCAAGGGCAGCGUCAAGGCGGAGAAGAAGCUCCUUGCUUCCCUGGAGUGGCUCAUGCCCAAUCGGUAAGAAUCCCCUGUGGUCCUUACUCCCUUUUCUGCCUGUGCCUUCCUGCACCAGUGUUGGGUGGGGAGGAUGCUGGUCACGGCAGCAUGGGAACCUAGUGCAAUUGGGCCUUUGCUGUUGCCCAGCUUUUCACAGCUCCAGAAACUGACCCUCAUCCACUGGAAGUCGCAGGUGCAUGCAGUUUUGAAGGUGAGAGCUAGAAGUUGGCCUGCAUACCAGCUGUGUACUUGGAGGGAGUACCCAGUGCUGCCCCACAGCAUGCCCACCUGCCUGCUUGGAUCUCUUUUCCUGUUUUCAUCUCUGGUAGGGGGUGGUGGGAGGUAGGGCACCCAGGUAGGCCUCACUUUGAAGAAUGCAGGUCAUAACAGGGGUCAUAGAGUGGGUUGGCAUGGCCAUCAUUGUCUUUCCUGUGGACAUUCACCUACCUUACCCCCAACCCAGGCGGUCUUUAUUUUCCCACAGCUGGUCAGUGAGUUCUGCCCUCGGCUCACCUUUCUCAAGCUUUCAGACUGCCACAGUGUGACCACGGAUGCUCUCGUCAUGCUAGCCAAAGCCUGCCACCAGCUCUACAGCCUGGAUCUACAACACUCCAUGGUGAGCCCUGUGUCCCAAGGGACUCCGAAGAAGCCUAGGUAGAGGUGACAAGUAGCUCUGUGUUGGGUCCCCAGGUGGAGUCCACAGCUGUGGUGAGCUUUCUGGAGGAGGCUGGACCCCGAAUGCGCAGGCUGUGGCUGACCUAUAGUUUCCAGACAACAGCCAUCUUGGGUGCACUACUGGUAGGCUGGUGACGGGCAGGAGCAGAGCCAAAUGCUAAACGGGGGAGUGCCAGGCUGGUGACCCAGGUAUACUCUACCACUCCUGCAGGGUAGCUGCUGCCCCAAGCUCCAGGUCCUGGAGCUAAGCACCGGCCUCAACCGCAACAACACUCCUCUGCUGCUGCCUAUUGAGGUUCUUCAGAAAGGCUGUCCCCAGCUGCAGGUACCUGAUGACUUGCUUCUUACACCUGCCACCCUAUCCCCACCUGCAGCCUGAGCCUUGUCCCCAGGUACUGCGGCUGCUGAAUUUGAUGUGGCUGCCCAAGCCUUCUGGGCGAGGGGCAGCUCUGGGACCAGGCUUCCCCCACCUUGAGGAGCUCUGCCUCGCCAGCUCCACUUGCAACUUUGUGAGCAACGAUGUCCUGAGUCGCCUGCUCCAUGGCUCCCCCAACUUGCGCCUGCUGGAUCUUCGUGGCUGUGCCCGCAUCACGCCUGCUGGUCUGCGUGAUCUGCCAUGUAAAGGUCAGCUGUCCUGUUUGGUGGCUGGGCAGGUGGGAUGUGGGGACCCUUGCUUCUCCUGUGGCCAACACCAUUCCUGUCACCUCAGAGCUGGAGCAGCUGCACUGGGGCCUGUAUGGUGUGUCUGACCGGCUGUCUCUAGCUAAGGAGGGCAGCACCCUGUUGACUCAGAAGUGGCAUCACACCCUGCGGGAACUGGACUUGAGUGGCCAGGGCUUCAGUGAAAAGGACCUGGAGCAAGCCUUAGCUGCCUUCUCUGGCACCCAUGGAGGCGCCCACCCAGCCCUGUGCUCCCUUAACCUCAGGGGUACCCGGGUUACAGCAAGCACGAUCAGGUUAGCACCCAUCCCCCAGGCCCUUGAAGCUAGUACUGCUUGUGGCCCAGAGCUGGUGUGCCACCUUGCUCAGUACCCCUGAGGUCUGGGAGGGAGUGGAUACUUGGCCUUGGGAACACUAAGGGGGCUGGGUUUGAGCCUAGUUAGCUGUGGGUAGUAGGCCAGGGGUAGAGCAUAGGCAAACAGGGAUCCCUGGCUGAGCCCAGCCUUCUGGGCCUGCAUUUUCCUGGCAGCUGCUUACUUUCCCAUGACUUGCCCUACCCACAGCUCUAUGAUCAGUAGCUGCCCUGGCCUGCUAUACCUCAACCUGGAAUCCUGCCGCUGCCUCCCCAGGGGCCUGAAGCGUGCCUACCGAGGCCUAGAGGAAGUCCAGUGGUGUCUGGAGCAGCUACUCACCAGCCCCUCCUCCUCCAGCUAGGCAGUUCCAGCUCUGCCUGUACCCUUUCCCAGUUUGGGAUGUUUAAACAUUUUGUUACAGUAAAAUAUUUUUAGGAACUCUGUGUGGUCCUUGGGUGGCCCCUUGGGUGAGAAACAGGGUUACAUCUGAUGGAGCACUGUAGGCUGCAGCAGGCAGGAGUCGGUAUGUGGGGGCCCUCUGGAGCCUGACUGGGCUGCACCUGGUCACUGCUGGGUUCACACUUUAGACUGUUGUGUGUCCCACCUCAAGACACUGAGUGAGCUGGGUCAAGCAUGCUGAAAUCCCAGCAGCUGGGGAGGCUGAGCAGAGGGGCAUUACAAGCUUAAAACCAGCCUCAGCAACUUAGACCUUGUCUGAACAAGUAGAAAGGGCUGGGGAUGCUGCUCAGUGGUUAAGCACCCUUGAGUUCAAUCCCUGGUACAAAAAAAAAAAAAAAAAAAAAGGCACUGAGGGAGCUGUCCCUGGGUAUGUCCAACUGUCCACCCCUCAGUGCGGACUGAGUGGCGGUACAGGGAUUGCCAAGUACACGCCCACGGAGAUGGGAUGGUUAACAGAGCAGCCCCUUCUAGAACGUGCCCCAGAACUUCUAGAAUUCCCGUGUGGCUCAGAUGGUACUGAUACCUGGCUUGCUGCCCUAGCACUGCCAGAGAGUGCCUGUUCCUUCUUGGACCGCAGCCCUGGAGGCCUUUUUCUCCCGGGUAUGCGCACGACUGCGGGUACUGGGCGAUGUCAGUGAACUGGCCGCCAGGAUGACCACCUCUACCUGACAGGUUCCCAAGGGCCGGGGCAGUGGCCUGCCCACGACCUCUGCCGGAAGUCCCUUCCAUCUCUGGGCCCUGGGAUUUUUGUGCACAGAGCGCCACCUGGCCAAGCGCCUCAAGAACAACGGCUUUUACCCGUUCACGCAGCAGCAGCCAGGCGGUGCGUGGGUGGGGCGGGGCCUCAGCCCGGCGCAGGGGCGCAGGGGCCGGGCGGGUACAAAGCCCUGGCACUGCCCACCCACCACCGCCACACCACACCCUCCCCACCCCUUGUCCUCACACGCACUGCCGGUCCACCUACAGUCUUCGUGCUUGAGUACUACCUGGACACACUCUGGAAGGGACUGCUGCUCUUUUUCGUCUGCCUGGUCCUGGUCUGCUCCGGCUUUGUGAGACAGGUCCGAGUCCUGGAUCCCACCCCCAUGACCCUUAUCCCCUGAGGGCCGGACCAAGCUGUUCCUUGCACCCUGCAGCCCUAGCCUGCAGCCUCUGGUUUGGUUCCUGGUACCUGCAGGUGGAAAAGCAGGAGACCUGGGGCUUCCCUGCCUAUGGCAUGGUCGUGGGCCUGUGGCUUAUGAUCUCAUCGUUGCCGCGGCGCCGCCUGGUGCUGAACCACAUGCGUGGCAUGUACCACUUCUCCAUCCAGGGACGCACCGUGUGCCAGGGGUCCAUGCAUCUGGUCUACGNGGGGGUAAAUAUAGCUUGAGUGGCUGGG